rnacentral:misc_RNA from 1 species
GAUGAAGAACGUAGCGAAAUGCGAUAAGUAAUGUGAAUUGCAGAAUUCAGUGAAUCAUCGAAUCUUUGAACGCACAUUGCGCCCGCUGGUAUUCCGGCGGGCAUGCCUGUUCGAGCGUCAUUUCAACCCUCAAGCUCUCCGGAGUUUGGUGUUGGGGCGCCCGGGGCUUUUCGACCUCAGGGCCCUCAAGUCCAUCGGCGGGACCGCCAGGACACUGAGCGCAGUAGUAUUAUUUCGCUCGGUAGGAUCUUCCACGGCGGGUCGAUCUGGCCGCUAAACCCCCCAAUUCUCACCAAAGGUUGACCUCGGAUCAGGUAGGAAUACCCGCUGAACUUAAGCAUAUCAAUAAGCGGAGGA